ACUCUCGAGCGCCGGCCCCAGGAUGACAAUCACAUCCCAGGAGCGCCGAUCUCUUCCAACUUUCCUCUUCUGCUAACUCGGGGCCGAGUGGCAGUCCCGACGCACGGCCGGCCUGCAGCGGGUUCCGCCGCCCCGAAGCACAAAGGGAACAAGGCCACAGGCUGUGCGCCGGCGAAGGCUCUGCGCUCUCCUAGCCACAGUAGAUCGCGGACUUAGCGGAUUUCUUGUUCUUCCGCAGGCUGGGCUCCGAGGCCAUUCGUUGCCCACCCCCCUCUGGCGUCUUCCCCAAGCCAGGGGGCCCGGAGAGCCAGCUAGAGAUCCGGAAUGAAAGUCUCUGGGAGAGCCGAUGGAUGGCCCGCGCCGAGGGCGCAGGAAGUCGGGAAUGACUGCCCCUCUGCGCCGGCAGCAGCAGGUGGGCGAGAGACAGGCCUCAGACGUCUGCACGUCUCCGCCUCGCCUUCCUUUACCGACCCCCCGCCGGACGGCGAGGGAGAAGACACUGGUUCCUGGAACUACCGGGCCACGGACGCACUCGAACUCUGGGACAGACAGGGGCGCUGGUGAACAAGGACAGAAGAUGGCACAGGUUUGGGCACGCCGCGGAAGCUCGGGAUAUCGGGAACUUCGCAUAAUGGGGCCACACGCAAGCCGAAGCAUAACUAUAUACAAAGUUUCUCGCAUUGACUUUGACGGGCGAGAUGUACUUUAUUUCGCGAGCUCACACUAACCCACCGCCGCACCGGCACCCGCUCGGUGCUGCCCUCUCGUGCACGCGCGUUGGCUCCUCCCCUCCGUCUGCUCCCCUCUAGGGAGCACCGCCCACCAAGAGGCCUGAGCGGUUCAGACUACAUUCUCCGAGAGCCCCUGGGUCCGCCCAGCCCAGUGCCUGACACCUCCUUCACCUAUGAUUGGGCGCUGGCCUCCCUGGGCUCCGCCCCCUGGUGACGUAACCCCGCUUUCCUCCGAGUCUCGGCGCCAAAGGGGCGGGGCGGGGCGGGGUCUCGAUCGCGCUAUUGUCAUGGAGACGGGAAGCUGGCUGCAGCGGCGGCGGGGACCGUGGGACCGAGGUGGCUGCCAGCCGGCCAAUGUCUAAGCGAGGAGGAGCGGCCCAGGCAGCCCGAGCCUGGGGGAGCGCGCAGCCGGCCAGUGGCGGCCUCUUCCCGGGCUCGCAGUAGGCCCGAGUCGUCGCUGGGAGCUCCCGGGAGCAGCGUCCCCGCCCUGCUCCCCUCGCUCCCGCCUCUUGCGGCCCCACGGCCCCUCAGCGCCCGCCCCCGGCUCCGCCCGCCGCAGCCGCAGCCCCUGGCGCUAACGGUCGGUAACGGCCCGCGCGCGCCGCCCGCCGGGGGCUCGCGCCAGCCACGAGGGAGCGUCCGCGGCCCGCGCGGCGGAGGAGAGGUGUUAAGUGUGAUGCUUCCAUAAUACAUUUGGAUGUUGUCAGCUAAGUUCACUUCUGAACUAAGGGGUUCCUCCAAAUGUUGGCUGAAAUUCAUCCCAAGGCUCAUCUGCAAUUACCGAUUUCUUUUAAGAAUAAAUUUAGUGGGAAUAUCAGUUCCAGUCAUGGGUACUAAACUUUUUUAGUGACAGAGGACACACAGAGUCUACAAUUCAUAAUGGAGCUACUGUACUGGCUAUUGGAAGGAGGAGAUUCUGAAGAUAAGGAGUCCAUCAAGGUGUCUGAAGAUUUUCUGCCUAAGUAUCUCCAUAUCUAACUUGAUAAGGAAAAUUGGAUAAACAAUGCUGGUAAUAGCAGGAAAGUAAAACCUGUUUAGAAAUUAAAAAUGAGUUACGAUUUAAAGAAAAUUCAGAUGACUCAUUGUGAGUGCUAGUUCUCUUGUAGGAUGCCACUGGAAAUGUUGAAAUGAA